rnacentral:rRNA from 1 species
UACGUAGGCAGCGAGCGUUGUUCGGAGUUACUGGGCGUAAAGCGUGCGUAGGCGGUGCCAUAAGUCUGUUGUGAAAUCUCCCGGCUUAACUGGGAGGGUGCGGUGGAAACUGUGGUGCUGGAGUGUGGGAGAGGUAGGCGGAAUUCCUGGUGUAGCGGUGAAAUGCGUAGAUAUCAGGAGGAACACCUGUGGUGUAGACGGCUUACUGGACCACGACUGACGCUGAGGCACGAAAGCGUGGGGAGCAAACAGG